UGUCUUGCUCUGACUGGUGCACUGGACAUGAUUUCAAUAGUCAGCCAGACCAUGAUUGAGCUUAAGGGUUGUGCUGCGGAUGCAGCCUGUGCAGUUCGGGGAGAAAGUCACUGUCUCGGGCAAUGCGGUCUGGUAUCAGGUCUGGAUGAUCCUUGCCUGACUGCGGGUUUGUGUACACCUCAAUCCGACUCUGUGUCCUGAACAGAGGCCGCAGUGGUGCAGCGCUUGUGGACGAUCCAUCAACAUCCUGAAAGGUCAACACUACACCAAGCUGGGAAAAUUGAUCCUGAUAGUCAUCCCCAGGCCUGACCGUUUGUCCUUGAGCCGUAGAUGGUCAACAAUCCGCUAGCUGUCUUGCUCUGACUGGUGCACUGGACAUGAUUUCAAUAGUCAGCCAGACCAUGAUUGAGCUUAAGGGUUGUGCUGCGGAUGCAGCCUGUGCAGUUCGGGGAGAAAGUCACUGUCUCGGGCAAUGCGGUCUGGUAUCAGGUCUGGAUGAUCCUUGCCUGACUGCGGGUUUGUGUACACCUCAAUCCGACUCUGUGUCCUGAACAGAGGCCGCAGUGGUGCAGCGCUUGUGGACGAUCCAUCAACAUCCUGAAAGGUCAACACUACACCAAGCUGGGAAAAUUGAUCCUGAUAGUCAUCCCCAGGCCUGACCGUUUGUCCUUGAGCCGUAGAUGGUCAACAAUCCGCUAGCUGUCUUGCUCUGACUGGUGCACUGGACAUGAUUUCAAUAGUCAGCCAGACCAUGAUUGAGCUUAAGGGUUGUGCUGCGGAUGCAGCCUGUGCAGUUCGGGGAGAAAGUCACUGUCUCGGGCAAUGCGGUCUGGUAUCAGGUCUGGAUGAUCCUUGCCUGACUGCGGGUUUGUGUACACCUCAAUCCGACUCUGUGUCCUGAACAGAGGCCGCAGUGGUGCAGCGCUUGUGGACGAUCCAUCAACAUCCUGAAAGGUCAACACUACACCAAGCUGGGAAAAUUGAUCCUGAUAGUCAUCCCCAGGUAGUGGAAUGAAUGUUCACUGAACUACAGAGGAAUCACACCCAAAUGACUUUCCUGCCACGACAUUAGUGUGGCCACUCGCGUAGGAAUUCCUUAGCAAACAUGCUCUUUUGCAUGGUGACUGUGGACAUUUUUGCAAAACUUACGCUUUCAACACUGGAUUUUAAAGAGAAUACUUAAUAAAAUGUCGCUAACAGGACUUAUUUAUAUGAGAGAGACUAUCUGGAUGCGCAUUAAGUGUCACUUUGUGUCGUAAGCUGUUGAAGGAGCGAUUUGCGCCUUUUUAAGUGUUAAUUUUGGGUAGCCGGCUUGUAUCGGCUUGAAAGCUGAAAAUUAUGCCUCUCAUCAUAAUAGCAUUAAUUUUUGUAAUUGCAAUGUGUAUGUUUAGAUUGUAAGUGAAGCUUUUAAUAAUAAUUUUCAUAAAAAACAUGAUUUUA